AGCAAUCCAAUGUGUGCUCCAGGAAAAAUUCCCUGCCUCGCAGCAUUUUCCCUGGUUUUCGUUUGGCGGAUGGCGGACGACAUGAGGGAGUUCGGUUAUCAUCAUCAUGGAAUGUGUCCACAUGG